GGCAGAAAACGAAGGCGAGCGGGCGGGCUGAGCCGGGCAGGGCUCUCUCCGUCCCCGAGGAGCCGCAGCCCGUCCCGGCGCUGCCUGCCCCGGGGCACAAGCUCUCAAAAUGUCGGUGUCGGCCCAGGGCUCCCCGGGGCGGCGGGGGUCGGGCGCCGAGGUGCGGGGCGGCUCGGGCCGGCCCCGGGGGCCGCGCCGCGCCGGGGCGGGCUGGGGAGGGAAGGGGGGGGCCCGCCCGGCUCCGAAACCGUUAGGUUGUCUUCUACGGCUCCUUUCCCCUUUCUCUUCCUGUCCAAAUAUUUUUAAAUUUACGCGCCUUAAAUAACAGUCUGAUUUUAUUUAGUUAGUUUCCUCCGCCGCCGCUUCGCCCCGGCCCCCCCCCGCCGCCAGGGGCCUGGGGCGGCCGCAGCGCAGCGCCCGGCGCCGCCACCGCCACCUUCCCGCCGCCGCUCCGCUCCUCCCCGGCCGUUUUUUUCUUUUUAUUUUCCCCUCUUUCGCACUUCUUUCUACCCCCUUAUUUUUUAUUUCCCCUUCCCUCGUUUUUUUUUUCCUUUUUCCCCUUUCCCUCCCUCUCCCCGAGGACUCGGCACCAGCCCCGACGCCUCUCCGCCCCCGAGCCGCGAAGUGCAUUGAGAACAUUUAUGCUGCUGGUGUGCACACCUAUGUUGCAGAGGUCAUGGAGGGGUGCAGGAGGCAGCAUGGCCAAGGCUGGCUGAAGAACUGAGCACGCAAACACUGGCAGGAAUGGGCAAGGUUCCCUGGGACGUGUGAGUCUUCUAUAAAACUGUGCAGCCAUUCACAGUCACAGAGAAAAUUUUUCAUCUGUGGCACCACCUUGUGGACAUUACUAGAUGAAAUGAAAAGCUGAUUAGUGUCGACAACAGCAUCUAAAACAGAACAAUCAUUUGGAAAAAAUAAUCACGUUUUGCUAAAGCAGAGUAAAAUAAAUUAGAAAUUUGAUUCCUAAAAAUCCAGCUAUGAAAUAAAAUAUAUAAAAAAUA